AUGAUCAAGAAGAGGCCUGGCCUAGGCACCAGAAAGUGUCCUGUCAGCAGGGAUUCCAGAGCACAAAUUGCAUCUGGGCUGCAGACACUCCAGGAGAUAUGGACUUCAGUAAGACGUUUGACUCUCAGACUUAGUUCCAAUUUGUCAGAAACACUAGAUUGCCUCGCAGGAUGCUCGCAAGAUAGUUUUUUUGGACCCUGUUCUGCAAGACAGUUUCCCCCCCCCCAUUGGAAUUACAUAAGACCUACAGUACUUUUUGGAGAAAGUGUAUGCUGCUAGCUUUCCAGGGUCUGCUUCCUAGAAAAACAACAGCAUAUGCUUUCUCCCCCACUUUUUUUGGGAUAAAAAAGUAGGCCUUAUGUAAUUAAUGUAUUUCAAUGGGGGGGAAAAACCCAUCUUACAAAGCAUCACCAGUGGGGCUAUGGCUACAAAUUCAAAUGGUAGAAGAUGGUGAAAAUAGAUAAGAAUCAAAGGGUAAAGAGAUUAUAAAAAAAACUAAAAUCAUAAACAUAAUGCCCUCAUUAACACAAAUUACACAGUUAAGUUCCCCACAUUUAGGGAAAUCACAGGGAUCAACAACACAUCAAAAUGCAAUGGAUGACCCUCCACCUGAAAAAAUUAUUUUUACAACAUGGUAUUUGUACUGCAAGAUAUGAGUUGGAAUGGCCCUUUCACCUCCUACCCCAUUUUGUCCCCUGACCCCCCAAGUCAUGGUGACCCCCUGGCUGUACCUCCCAUUCAGUAUAGGGCUACAUAGCUCCAGUUCUGCCAGAGGCCAAGA
rnacentral:lncRNA from 1 species